ensembl:lncRNA
GUAAGUGACUUGCGUGUCCGAUAGCAAGUUACAAGUUUUUUGUUUAAUACAUCGAUUGCAACACUUUUGCAUGGUCACCUUGCCACUGAAUACCCUGAAAUUGUGUUUCAAAUAUUGAAACAUUUUAGCGGAGGCGCUUCAGAAGAAAAUCUUAAAGACCGCCUCGAUUAAUGUGGCUGGAAUAACGCUAGCUAGUUUAUUUAUCAUUCCUAGUAACUCAAAAACAUCUGACUUUUAUAGUCCAAGUGAUCACUGUGUCUGCUGAGUAAAUAACACUCACCAAACCUAAUGUUAUUUUUGAAGGAAUUCAACACGGGUACACGUCAACCCUAUGUGUGAAUGCUAGCAUGGAGUUUAGGAAGUUAGCUUGUCUGCCUAGCAGGCCAUUAUCUGCUUGAGCUGGUUGGCGAGAGUUUUCGACGUAUGUUAACUUGGACUUCUGGAAUUGUACCAUUUGAAGUGAGACUGUGCCCUUUAUGUACUGCUCUUAGUUGGCAUUAAAUAACUUAGAUAUUGUGCAUUUCCCGCCCAGCACGUGUUCCUUUGGUCCAGCCAUGUUUAACCCGGGUGCAAGUGGAUGGAAAGUUCUAGAACAACGAAGUGGCUACAAGAUCACGGGUGUACCCAGUCCCCAAAGAGGCCUGCUUGAAGACAUGGCAGUUGCACAUCUCUGUGUUUCUGUGUGCUGAGAAUUCAUGGCUACCUCAGCUGAGAUUUGAUGCAGUCAUGUGGAUGGCUUAUUUGUGAUAAUGGUCUACUGACGAGAAUCGUACGACAUAGUUGACUCCACCAGGCUGUCUGUAGGAUGCGGCCAUGUCAGUCCCCAGGGGACCUUGAGUCUGGACACCAGUGAAUUGAUGUGGUGGCCACGCCUCCUGUACUGUGACUUCAUCUGAUAUUUGCAAGACUUUGCACAAGUCAAUUUAUAAGACUUGUACUUUCAUAUAUAUUUUUUUUGUGAAUUGCAUGUCAUGCUUUAGAAAAAGCAGUGGAAUAAAA